rnacentral:tRNA from 1 species
GGGGAUAUAGCUCAGUUGGCAGAGCGUUUGAAUGGCAUUCAAAAGGUCGGGGGUUCGACUCCCCCUAUCUCCACCA